GACAGAGGCCCCGAGCGUUAGGCGGAAUCACUGGGCUUAAAGCGUGUGUAGGCGGAUCGUUAAGUGUCUUGUGAAAUCCCACGGCUCACCCGUGGAACUGCUGGGCAUACUGGCGAUCUUGGGCCGUUCAGGGGCGACUGGAACAAGCGGUGGAGCGGUGAAAUGCGUAGAUAUCAGGAGGAACACCGGUGGCGAAGGCGGGUCUCUGGGCCGAUACUGACGCUGAGGAGCGAAAGCGUGGGGAGCGAACAGG
rnacentral:rRNA from 1 species